CCAGGGGCCUUGGCGGUGGGCCAGGUUGAAGAUUCUGGAACAAAAGUACUUCUGAUAAUAAUUCGGGGCUUUGUUGGAACAUAACUGUCUAAAUCUAAAACUGAACCAAAGCUCAGGGUAAAGUUAAGUCUGUACGCCGAUCAUGACAAAAACGCAGAUGGCUAGUGAAGUCGCUUUGAUCUGGUCAAUUUUAGUUGCUGACCGUUCCAGAAACAAAGGCAACUGACCUCUGAAAUUCUAAGGAUUUUUUUAUGACCCACAACAAGGAUAUGGCAGAAAUUGAAGCAAAAUAAGUUCAUUCUUAAUCUGAAAUAUGCAACUUAAGAUAUCCAACAUUUGGCCAUAAGGGCACUGCCUGCUCUUGAGUAUCAUCAGUGUGUAUGAAAUAGUUUUAAAAUAACUGAACUGUUACACCUUCCUUUACUUUCUGCGAGAGACAUUCAAAAUAUUGAGGAAUCUCAUACCCUUCUGCUCAAUGCCUGGUCUCAUUGCAGCUAGACAAAGUCUCCAUCGAAUUCUCUAAAAUCAUAAAUCCCAGUUUUCCACCUAACUCCAUGUCUAAACUCUUAACUCUCCCAGUUAAUAUCUUGCAUACCACAACAUGAAGGCUCAUGUUUUUCCCAUUCUCUUCCUAUUUUUCA